rnacentral:lncRNA from 1 species
GAACAGGUGGCAGCUGUGCGUUUGAAGGGAGUCGCGGUUGAUUAUGCCCUAGAAUGGAUUAUUUCAGAAGGAAUAGCAACACAGCAUUGUGUCAAUAGCAUGAUUGUGCCAUUCUGACUUGGACCUGUGGCUUCUGAUUCAGCCUGAGAGGUAAUUCACCAGUGAUUUAUAGGGGAGGCACUGUGUUGGACCCUACAAUAAAGGAGUAACUGCCAG